rnacentral:rRNA from 1 species
GACGAACGCUGGCGGCGUGCUUAACACAUGCAAGUCGAACGGAAAGGCCCUGCUUUUGUGGGGUGCUCGAGUGGCGAACGGGUGAGUAACACGUGAGUAACCUGCCCUUGACUUUGGGAUAACUUCAGGAAACUGGGGCUAAUACCGGAUAGGAGCUCCUGCUGCAUGGUGGGGGUUGGAAAGUUUCGGCGGUUGGGGAUGGACUCGCGGCUUAUCAGCUUGCUGGUGGGGUAGUGGCUUACCAAGGCUUUGACGGGUAGCCGGCCUGAGAGGGUGACCGGCCACAUUGGGACUGAGAUACGGCCCAGACUCCUACGGGGGGCAGCAGUGGGGAAUAUUGCACAGUGGGCGGAAGCCUGAUGCAGCAACGCCGCGUGCGGGAUGACGGCCUUCGGGUUGUAAACCGCUUUCGCCUGUGACGAAGCGUGAGUGACGGUAAUGGGUAAAGAAGCACCGGCUAACUACGUG